AGUGAACGCUGGCGGCGUGCCUAAUACAUGCAAGUCGAACGAAGUGGCGCGCGGGUGAGUAAUAUAUAGUUAAUCUGCCCUACACAGAGGAACAACAGUUGGAAACGACUGCUAAUACCUCAUAGUGUAGGAUGAGACUAUUGCGUAUCAGCUGGUUGGUAAGGUAAUGGCUUACCAAGGCUAUGACGCGUAACUGGUCUGAGAGGAUGAUCAGUCACAUGGGAACUGGGACACGGUCCAAACUCCUACGGGAGGCAGCAGUAAGGAAUAUUGCGCAAUGGGGGAAACCCUGACGCAGCAACGCCGCGUGGGGGAUGAAGGCUUUCGGGUUGUAAUCAUCUUUCGCGAUCGAACAUUUUUUGGGGGGUUGAGGGUAGGUGGAGAAGAAGCGCCGGUAACUCCGUGCCAGCAGCCGCGGUAAUAC
rnacentral:rRNA from 1 species